AAAACACUCACUCUUUCACGCCUCUUGAAACAACAAGAUCCAUACACAUCUGCCCUGCUGAACCUGGUCUCCUCAUCAGCGCCUCCUUUUCUGCAUCUCAACACCUUCUAAUUCGAUGUCCUAGUCGAGUGGAACAGAAUGUUUGACAGUGACAUAAUGACCCAUGCCAGGGUAGUGGAAAAUUAACAUGACCUUAAUCAGGAAUUCACUCUAUAAAAGGUGAAGAAUCCAAACGCAUUGCCGCAAAGCUGCCUUUAACCAGUCUGGCAAACAGACCGGACCUACAGAGGAGUUUAUUUGUUCAGACCACAUGGUCCCCAGUCUGACAGCAGCAUAAACAGAUAGCACCACCAUGCAGCUUCAUUGUAACAUAUAACACAGUUACCACCACAAUCACCUCAAUAUGGUGUCUGAUGACCCAAAAUUAGCACCAAUAAUUAGAGCUUUUGGGUCAGUAAUCUGCUGCAUGGAGGCCCUUAUAAUUAGGAAGUUUAAAUAGCUCUGGGUGGCCACAUUGGCACAGGGUAAGUGGAUGAGGGUGUGUGUGUGUGUAUGUGUGUGAAAGUGAGACACAAGGGGGCCACAUCCUGGUAAUUGCUCCAAUCUGGAGCCAAAUCACAUAUAAACCCAGAUUUGUGAUGCUGGUAUGUAGGUAAGGUAGAAUGGAAAAGCCAAAUAAAAAAAAGGUACUCUGGGUGUGGUAUUGUGCUUAAACAAAACAGAUAUCACACUUAAGGGGACGUUAAGAGAACGCAUUACUGUGUCUGUCCAGGCUGUUUUUUUAAUAGUUUUCUUAUGUAAACAAACUACAUUACGGAUAUAUUUGACUGCUGCGCCACGUCUUACUGUUUUUUCAGCAUAUUGCCAUGUUUUUAGAUGCCCACAAAAUCAGUCACCUAGGUUUUUGCAGUUCCUUUUUGCCACUUUAAUUGAUGUGUACAGUAGAGGGAGAUGAAAAGACACAAACUGGAUUCGAACUUGUGUCUGCAAUACGAGACGUGAUAACUGCUAAGCUACAGCUGUGAUGUCCUGAUUAUUUCACAUAUGGAAACGGAAUAAGCUCGGAACUGAGGAAAGCACGCAAACACAAACAGAAAGGUCACACUAGAGGUGAACGACUUGACUGACAGUCAGGUCAGCAGGACAAAAUAGCCCAGAAGGGAAAUACAAAUGAGUGUCAACAGGGAGGAAACAGAAACACAGAUGAAGAAGCUAAGGUUCAAAGCCAGGCCAAAGCUAUCUGAGACAACACUACAAAGCCGUCUGCCAAGUAAUAUGCUCUUCUCCAGUAUUUUGAUGAAUUACUGCUAAUAUGAUUGAUAGAAAAUGUACACAAACAUCUCUUUUAAAUAAAAUUCAUUUUAUUGCCUGCUUUCAAAUAGUGGUAAUAGUGGCAUGUAAAUCGCUCUGGGCAAUUUUUAUGAAUGAAGCACAAUCUAUAAUAAGCCUAAUUUACAUAGAAAGAAAUGGAUAACUCCACAAGUUAUAAUAAAAAGGUAGUGAAAAGUUUGUUUGAUUGUUGACACUACUGUAUGCUUUUAAAAUGGCAAAGGAGGAAAAAAAAAAAAAAAAAAAAAAAAAAAAAACACAGAUUAGCCACGACUAUUUAAGGACCCCAAAGAGACACCAUUCUGAUUAUGCCCAUGGUCAACAUCAGGAGAGGCUAUUAAAAGGUUAGGACAAAACUGUCCACAGCAAAACCGAGAAGAUGGCCCUUCCCCCAACCCAAUGUUUGCUGAUUCCAUUUCGUCUGUGUUGGCUGGUUUGCAAGGUGCUCUCAUUUUAAGUCACAUCAAAUUGUAUUUGAUUUUGCUUAUUGUAGUCUCAGCUGAAGCCAUUUUACGCUGAAGCUUAAUUCAAUUUAUUGUGUGUAAUAACAUUUCUUUACUCACUGAAAGUUUUGUUGUCCUCAUCACCACACAGACAAAGACUAAAUCUAGUAAUUUCAGUUUAGCUAAAUUGAAUGUUUUUGUUUUGUAACUCGUCAUUUGAAAUUUGCCAGCUUAUUCAUCCUUCAGUGGAUGUGGGUGGUGUUUUCAGUGAGGAGAGCUUCGUGGACACAGCGACGACAGCAUCAAACGUCAUCUCUUGUUCUGUCUAUGCACAAGGUCACCUUGAAUGCUGUUCCCCUCCUCCAUUUCACCCUCCCUCACUCACUUCUCUAUUUUUCAAUAUCCGCAAGAAUACUUCACGCUUCACUAGGGGAGAUCCUUUCUAUCGGAUAACACAGCGUGGUAUUUUGUAUUCAAGAAGGAAACAGUUGAAAAUCAAUGACAUUGCCUGAAGUUUAACUGAGGACACAGAAAAAGAUAACUGGACUUCACCAGACCAUUUAUAAUGUACUUUUAACAUACAAUUGCGUCCACAUGAGCAUACAGAGUGAUACAAGGCCUUCAUCCUCACUGACAUGCGACACCUCGUAAAACACUGCAACUUCAGACCACUAUGUAGCCUUGGGAUUGAGAAACAGUAUGUACACACUUUCCCUGUGGGGACACCACUCCUGCCAUAACUGGGUCACAAAUACACAUUAGCAAGAAAACAUACAGUACCACUGAAACCAGUCAGUCAAACACAAGGUUGAAUUUUCUGCAGGUUAACCUAAGAAUAGUUGCCAAAAUUAAAAAUUCUGUCAUCAUUUAACCUCAUAUUGUUUCAAACCUGUAUGUCUUUUUCUCCCUGGAACACAAAAGGAGA